rnacentral:rRNA from 1 species
GACGAACGCUUGCGGCGUGCUUAACACAUGCAAGUCGAGCGGUAAGGCUCCUUCGGGAGUACACGAGCGGCGAACGGGUGAGUAACACGUGAGCAAUCCGCCCAUCACUUUGGGAUAACUCCGGGAAACCGGUGCUAAUACCGAAUACGACCACUUCAGGCAUCUGACGGUGGUGGAAAGUUCCGGCGGUGAUGGAUGAGCUCGCGGCCUAUCAGCUUGUUGGUGGGGUAAUGGCCUACCAAGGCUUCGACGGGUAGCCGGCCUGAGUGGGUGACCGGCCACACUGGGACUGAGACACGGCCCAGACUCCUACGGGAGGCAGCAGUGGGGAAUAUUGGACAAUGGGCGAAAGCCUGAUCCAGCAACGCCGCGUGAGGGAUGACGGCCUUCGGGUUGUAAACCUCUUUCAGCGCCGACGAAGCGAAAGUGACGGUAGGCGCAGAAGAAGCACCGGCCAACUACGUGCCAGCCGCCGCCGUAACAC